CUGUUGAGGCCUGCUUGGUGUUUCCUGCCCCAUGGUGACCCAGAGGGAUGCGAGGGCAGGGCUAAAAAGCAGUGGGGCUGCACCUCCUCCCCACAAUACAACAACUUUUGAAAACAAAAAAAACCAUCGAUGUGGAGUUCCUGAUGCCAACCACAGAGCAGAAGGAACAGCUCCUUUAUGGAGAAGGAAAUGAUAUGCUGAGCCUGGAAGACAGAUUUCAGAGAAGUGACCAGUGUGCGGCCUGGUCUCCAUCAGUAGCACUGUCACUGCCAGCAGGCCUGCAGACACAUGAGAGAUGGCUGUGCUGUGUCAGCAUUGCAGAAAAAAUAAACAUGCAUUUGCAACAUGAAGCCCUGCAUUUCAUUUCCAUUGUUUUCCAGGGCACAGAUUCACUCACAUUUAAGAUCUAAGAGCUGAAAAAGAAAUGAACAAAGCUCUACUCUUUCUUGACUAUUCCGUUUUCAUGAACCACCACCUCAUAUGUGGCCACUUGGGCAUCAGCAUUCAGGUAAUAGCCCAUCAGUGCAGAUGAUUCAAGUCCAAAUUCAAGUCCAGAAUCAAGGAAUCCUGACCAUUUUUAGUCCCUGUUUGAGCACAGAUGAUCACCCUACUCUCUUACUAACUCCCUAAGGAGCAAGUUCCCAUCUUCCAUAGCAAACCAUAUGAUCCCAUCCACUAUGUUUAUCUAUCUAGACCUCCAUUAUAAGAGGCAGGCCAAGGAGCUGUUAUUCUUGAACACCUCCAUCAGCUCCACCCUGUCUGUCUUUCCAGCACACUCAAGCCUCAGAGCACUGUGCAUUCCUCAGUCAGUGGGCGUCCAUAGCCAGCAGUGCCAUGAUGAGUGGAUGCAACCAUCCCAUGUGGGUUCAAAGCUACCUGGCUAUAGGCUUGUUGGCCGGUGAAUAGUCCGCACACCAGCUCCAAUGCAACUGGCUCCAAUUCAUGGGAAUGUUUUGGCAUCUUAGAGCCAACCAAACUCAUGUCCAAAGAGCAAACCCUUAAGACUUCUAUGAAACAAAACAACUUUUCAUUUCCAAGACCAUUUGGUUCCAACCCCCUGCCACAGACAAGGCUGUCACCUGUUAGAUCACUUCACCCAGAGCCUCAUUCACCCUGGCCUUGGCCCUGUUCCAGGGAUGGGGAUUCAGAUUAAAAAACAUCCUGACAGUUUUUUACAUCAUAUCAUCCAGGUUCAGCUGAACGUAAUGUACAGAACUGAAUGGGAAAGGAGAUACUACGAUUGUUUCAAACUACCCACCCACUUUUUUAAUGUGCUGUCUCUCCCUCUGCCUCUCUACAUGAAUUCACAGACAAUGAUCUGACAGCAUGCAAGAAAAUGCUUCUUUUUCCUGAAAGCUCUCUGCGAAGGUGGUGUUUCCCCACCUCCACGUUGCUGACAAACGCUGAUGUAAACAGCACACAUAUGCCCGCCUGAAAGGCCACAGGGGUUUUCACGUGAAUCCUGUGUUUUUUCCACAAACCCCGUUACACCCUAUUUCAGCUUAAAAUACAUCAUCUCCUCUUUCUGGUUAACCUACAAUCCUGUUAAGGCUCACAGAGUUUACAGUAGCAGGCAAAACCACUUAGCAGAACCCAAUUUUGAAGAUAAGUACUUCAGUUGCAGAACUCUGGCACGAAACUCUUUCAAGAAACUGUUUGAGCAGUAUUAAAACAAGAGAAACCAAUACUGAGAUAAAUCGUGCACUGAAAUCGUUAAAAACACCAGCCAUGCCUUUGGCGUUGACAGGAGUAAAGCAUGUCAUUUGUAACACCACUGAAAUCAUAACAGGAAGGAAGUAGACCUCAGAAACUAUAAACAGAAGUUAACAGAAGUAGGAAGUACUUCAAAUGUUUUCAUGUAGCGACUGUAGAAAGAUACUAAAAGGAGAAAAUGUUUUCAGGGUUCAUCUUGUUUGCUUUUUUUUUUUUUUUUUCCACUUUACGUAUCCAUUAGUUAUUUUGAACAGUAAAAGAUUGUUCCAAAAGUCAAACACAACUUUAAAGUCCCCAUGUGUAAAAUAAUCUGUGGUAUAAAUCAACAGUUUGAUCUCUCUUCCACUCUCAUCCACCCAUCUCUUAGCCUCUCUGCUUGCUUACAGUAAGUCCUUCACCUGGAUCUGGCUGCACGAAAGCUAAGCAAGUUCUGCAUGGCCAGGAGUUAGAUGGCUCUCUUCUCCAUUCCUCUUCUCAGCUGCUUCUUCAAGAAAAAUAAUUAAAAGCUCAUUCCAAAGCUGAGAAUGAUAAUGUACCUUGAUACUCAACAUAAAGAUGCUCCCCACCUUCUGACACCUCACAGAUAACUUCCACACUUUUCUCUAAGCUCGUGAGUGCGACAAACUUCUUUGAGACCCUGACUUCCAGUGGAUGGAUGACAGCUGCCCUGUGAAAUUCACCCCAGUGGCUGAGCUCUAUUGAGUUGAGUUGAGCACAGGUCAGGAUGCUGGGCUGAGCCAGGGGACAUGAGCUAAUAUCCCUCAUUUUGCAUAAGAGCAAAAAUCCUUACCUUUUGACCUUUCCCUGCACUUUUAUCUGAAAAUACAGUUCCCCAGAGCCUUAUCCAUCAGCAUUGCCCAGGUUAGCAGUGUAGGACUGAGCUCAAUAGUUUUGCCCCACUACUGAAAGCAACACAUACAAAUCGAAUUGGUAGGGAAUAAGGACUUUAUUCUAAGACAUGAGCUGAAGCAAUGAGCAUAUGAAGCAACGGCCACUAGAAAAAAAGUGAAAAACAUCAGAUAUUGUAUUGUAUCGUACCAGUUCAGUUUGAACUCAAAAGUCCAUUCCAGUAAAAUGUAUGCACAGACCAAAAGCAUAUGCAGAAGCUCUGAAGGUCCACUAGAAUAGUGCUUUUAAUGUCUAUGGAAGAGGUCUCCCCUGUGAGAAUCUUUAAGCCAGGAAAAACACCUCAGGUAACAAAGUAAAAAUGAUCCAUUAAUUCUGCCUGGCACUGUGGAGCAGGAAGGGGAUAACAUAUCCCAAGAGAGUAUGCAUCUUUAAGAUGUAUAAGUUAGAAGUCCCUAGAAAACAAGUCUGCUGCCAGACUAAGUACCAUUCAUUUCUUCUUCAUUUAGAAACUCAAGUGAAGUACAUAUGUUAACCACAGGGAGGUCAUACUCUGGAGCUGAAGCAGCAUGAUCACACAGUCUGAUCUCCAGUGUAACAGCGAGGAGGUUUUACUACCUCACAGACUCAACAGACCCCUUCUCUUUGCCUCUGUGAUGGCAUUCUAGCACACAAGGCUGCAAACUGUCUGAAGUCAUACUUCUGUGAAGAUUUUAAAACAAACAUUAAAAGAAGUUUUUCCUUAGCUGUCUUAGUUUGGGAGGCCAAGUUCUGCUCUCCUAAAUCUCCUCCUUCAUAUUCAUUUUAGUACCAAUGGAAGGAAGCUGUGAGUGCACACCAAGAGCAGAGCUUGGCUCCAUACAAACCUGAAGUGCUGGUCACUUCAGCUUCCCUCCUGUGUGUCACAUUAGCCGAGGGUAGCAGGACCACUCCCUGUGCUAUUUUCAACGUCUGCCAACUUAAUUCUAAUGCACAUAUAUGUAUAAUGCAUAGUAGUUUGCAAUGGUAAGAAAAUAAAAUGUGAUUUGUUUUUAAAUAUUCUCUUUGG
rnacentral:lncRNA from 1 species